rnacentral:rRNA from 1 species
UACGUAGGGUGCAAGCGUUGUCCGGAAUUAUUGGGCGUAAAGAGCGUGUAGGCGGCUUGAUAAGUCUGCUGUGAAAGUCUAGGGCUCAACCCUGGAAAGCCGGUGGAUACUGUCGAGCUAGAGUCCGGAAGGGGCGAGUGGAAUUCCUGGUGUAGCGGUGAAAUGCGCAGAUAUCAGGAGGAACACCAAUGGCGAAGGCAGCUCGCUGGGACGGUACUGACGCUGAGACGCGAAAGCGUGGGGAGCAAACAGG